rnacentral:lncRNA from 1 species
AAAUCUAAAAGCUUAAUUCUUUUUAUCAAAAUAAGAGUUCCAGCAUGAGAAAGUGGGGUAUAAAAAAGCAGAAGAUUGCCAGGCACGGUGGCUCACACCUGUAAUCCCAGCACUUUGGGAGGCCGAGGCGGACGAUCAUGAGGUCAGGAGAUCGAGACCAUCCUGGCUAGCACUAUGAAACCCCAUCUCUACUAAAAAUACAAAAAAUUAGCCGGGUGUGGUGGCGGGUGCCUGUAGUCCCAGCUACUCGGGAGGCUGAGGCAGGAGAAUGGUGUGAACCCAGGAGGCAGAGCUUGCAGUGAGCUGAGAUCGCGCCACUGCACUCCAGCCUGGGUGACAGAGUGAGGCUCCAUCAAAAGAAAAAAAAACAGCAGAGGAUUUUACUCAUACUGGGAUCUCAUUUUAUCUCCAUGUAUUCCUCCCCUGACACACAUUCUCCCUAAACACACUUAAGACUUUGAGAGGUAGAAAGGACCUUGAAGCCUUUUACUCUAAUCCUUCUUCUCAAUCCCCAUUAUAAUAUACCUGACACAUGGUCAUUUCACUUGUGUCCAGGGUCGGGGAGUCCCAAUGUCCUAAGCCAAUGAUAAGUGAAGUUCUAGGGCAGCAGAGAGAGUAUUAUUCAAUGGUUUUAAUUCAGUUUUCUGAAUUGACACUGCUCCUUUGUAUAAAAGAAAGGAAGGUAAAACCAGAAGUACCCUCUCCUACCCACUGAGCUUAGUCUGACAAUACAAACAGGCUACCUUGCAGAUUUGUAAAUAGAAGGCAGAUUUGCAAAUGAAAUGCACAUUUUUUUUUAAUCCAAAGAGAAGAGAGAGCUCAGGAAGUCAGUCAAAAGACUCAGGGAUAGUCCUGGUUGACUGGCUGGCUUUAUCCCCAGUCUCACUGACAACCUAACUCUACUUUGAUCAUAUUUAGUUCUGACGGUCCAGUUCCAUCUCAGUGCAGGCCCUGAGAGUAUAACAAAAUCCACAUCUUUCAGAAGCCACAAAAGACCAGAACUUGAGGAUGAAAAAUCUGGCCCCAGGGAAUAUAAAGCUGAUAUCACCAAAAUAGCGAUAUUGCUUGUAUCUCCCCUUAAACCCUGUGAACUGGCAGCUGAGGGAGGAGAGAAAGACAGAAUGUUGGAUGCCUCACCUGCUUAAUAAAGGUGAUUGAAACCAUGUCCCAGGAGACAAUGCCAUGGUCCAUGAGCUCUAGGAAGGCAGUCAGGGUGAAUGCCAGCAUAUCACUGUAGCUGAGACACACACAAAAUGGACAAAGAUGCAGACUGGGAAACACAGGUGUGAGGGCAGCCACAAAAAAGAUGAAUUUUAGGCUGGGUGUGGUGGCUCAUGCCUGUAAUCUCAGCACUUUGGGAGGCUGAGGCGGGUGGAUGAGAUCAGGAGAUCGAGACUAUCCUGGCUAACAUGGUGAAACCCCGUCUGUACUAAAAAAUACAAAAAACUUAGCCAAGUGUGGUGGCGGGCACCUGUAGUCCCAGCUACUCCGGAGGCUGAGGCAGGAGAAUGGCAUGAACCUGGGAGGCAGAGCUGGCAGUGAGCCGAGAUUGGGCCACUGCACUCCAGCCUGGGUGACAGAGCCAGACUCCGUCUAAAAAAAAAAAAAAAAAAAAAAAAAAAAAAAAAAUGAUGAAUUUUAAUGUGAACACCCCAUGGGAAAUCAGUCGAUGCAACUGUAACUGUAAGUGCCUGUGCGCACACCUAGCAAGUAGAGCAGGUUCAGCCCAGGUAUCUAUCACUGCCAAAAAAAAUGCUGCUGGCUGAUCAGACCUUUCUUCUCUAUGUGCUUCAUCCUAGGGACACAGAAUCACUUAUCUAUUUCUCAAGACCAAAGAAGACAUCGGACCCUUGUCAAACUCCAGCACCUAUUGGGGGAACCUAAGGAGGCAUAAGUGCCAUGUUAACCUUUGGGCCAAGAGGCAGUAGAGUGCAAGAGAUGGGCUCAGUUCUUGUCCACCUUACUAACCAAGCAAAUUUUAUCUUUUCAAAACUCAAUGUCUUCCUCUGUAAAAUCAAGUUAGUCUCACAGCGUUAACCUCACAGGAUUGUGGAGAGGGCAAGAUGAUGAUGUAUGCAAAGCACUUAUUCUAGUGCUGAUAGAGAAUAAGGAUUAAAAUGUUUUCUCUUUUCUCUCUUCUCCUUUAUAUAUCUGUACAGUGCUCUAGAAUUAACAGAUGAUAUUCCCAUUUACAAAGCAUGUUCAGACACAGUCUCAUUAACAAUACUUCUCACAAUAAUACUGCAAGGUAGCUAUUAUUAUCCUCAGGCUAAAGAGAGGGAAACUAAGGCCAGUCUAACCCUGCACUCUCGGGAGACUGUAGAACUGUGUCAGUGCUGAUGGCAGCUGAAGGCUUCAGGACUUGAGUACAGCUGGAAGAUCCAAGAUGUAAAACAAAUAUCUAUGAUUAGUUACUUGAUUUGGCUGAAAAUUUCCAUAGUUCAUCUACGGGCUGAGAAGAUUUCUGAUUCCCUCUUUGGCAGCGUAGGCUCCAAGCACCUGUUUACUGACUGCUCUUCACAAGGCACAGCUGCCCACCUCAUGCAUGUCAACUCUGGGGUAUGAUGAAAAUGUUUGUGGGUAUCAUAAAGUUCUGGUCUCCUCCUCCCUGUGCAAAAGUGUGGCAGGGAGAUGGUGACUUGGUAGGUUGUAACCUGUGGUAAACACAAACGAAGCUGUGUGUGUGUGUGUGUGUGUGUGUUGUGUGUGUGGUGGAAGGUGACUUGAGAGAGAGGGAGCAGGGGGUGGUUACAGAUGGACACACACCUGGGACAUAUUGGACCAUGUGCUCAGUAACCCUCAUCAGACCAAGCAUUUCCAGCAAUUAACAGGUCUGUCACAACCUGACCGCUCUCCUACUGACUUCUCUAGCCCCUAUUUUCACUGCUCACUUGGCACAGUAUUGUUUUGUACUAUUAUUUAAUUUGUGAGAGCCCAACUAUACUACAAGAUUUAGAAGAACAACACGGAAUUAUAUGUCUCGGUAUGGACUCUAGUGCUUUGCACACUGCUCUGUACAUAGGUGGUAUUCAAUAAACUCCUUAUGUGACUUGAUGGAAAUGAGACUAGGAUGCCCUGUGGGAUGUAGUAAAUCACUGAAGUCUCUGGAAUGAGACCUUAGUCAUACUCACUGGGACAGGAGUUUGGUUCCAUUUUCCACAAGCCUCGUCAGCACAAUGAUGCCAUCCAUGUUGAUGAACUCAGUAGCAAAAGUCACGUCAGCAGAGCUUGGCCAGCACCUUCAUGGUAUCCAGCCGGGUCUCCAUGUUGGAUGACUGGGUCCUCUCCAUCAGCUGGGCGUGCAGCCUGGGACUAGGAAACCAGGGACAAGACAUGUGCCAUCUGCUCCUUGGAGCAGGUUACUACUCUGUGG